AGUGAACGCUGGCGGUAGGCCUAACACAUGCAAGUCGAACGGCAGCACAGUAAGAGCUUGCUCUUACGGGUGGCGAGUGGCGGACGGGUGAGGAAUACAUCGGAAUCUACUUUUUCGUGGGGGAUAACGUAGGGAAACUUACGCUAAUACCGCAUACGACCUACGGGUGAAAGCAGGGGAUCUUCGGACCUUGCGCGAUUGAAUGAGUCGAUGUCGGAUUAGCUAGUUGGCGGGGUAAAGGCCCACCAAGGCGACGAACCGUAGCUGGUCUGAGAGGAUGAUCAGCCACACUGGGACUGAGACACGGUCCAGACUCCUACGGGAGGCAGCGGUGGGGAAUAUUGGACGAUGGGCGCAAGCCUGAUCCAGCCAUACCGCGUGAGUGAAGAAGGCCUUCGGGUUGUAAAGCCCUUUUGUUGGGAAAGAAGAGCAGCAGGUUAAUACCCCGCUGUUCUGACGGUACCCAAAGAAUAAGCACCGGCUAACUUCGUG
rnacentral:rRNA from 1 species